CUUAUGGCGCAGGAGGAGGGGAUUGGGCGCUUUCAUGUCGUCUGGCGGCGGCGGCUUGGGAGGCGGAGGCCGUCUCGGGAGCGCGUUGGAGGGAGACCAAGGAGAGAAAGAGGAGGAGGAGGGGAGAGGACAGAGUUCAGUGACCCAAUACUAUGGAGAUCCACCACGAGUUUGAAGCUUAUGGGCCGUUAAGUACAGGCGGGAGCUAUUCAUUCCUCUUUCGUAAGCUGCUUAAGUACUCGGUUUUAUGCGAUUUGGGGCUACAUGCGCUGUUUAUUGAUGGCUUUUGUUUCUUGCAGGCCGUCUCUGUGGUGGUGGAGGAGGUAUUGCUUCUCUUCUCUGUCGGUUUUUGCAGGUUUGCCUUCGCUGCAGCUUCUACUGAUUCGUAUGCCUGAUUUUUGCAGGUUCUAGGAUUUGGUCAUGUGUUUCUUUUUUUGGUUCGCUUGUGGUAUUUGUUACUGUACAUGCAAUCGUUCGUAGCAAAACUGUUAUGGAUGUGCUGUUUGUGGAGAAAUUGUGGAACCUCUUAAACCUAGAGAGCAGGGACUAGGUUGAUCUGCCUAACCAUAUUUUUGAACUGAGCAUGUUAUUUACAAGGGGGUGUAAAUUCUGUCCUUGUACCGUAAGAAUCUCUGCUAUGUAUGUCUGUCGUUCCUUGCUUGGUGUGUCUUAUCAGUUUUACCAUGGAGAUGUAAGGCUCGGUUAUUACCGGUGCCUACCAAAACAUGGCUUGAGGCUGAAGAACGAGGAAAACUAGCCCUUUUCAUGUGUGGUUAGAGUCAAACUCUGCAGUAUUGGUUCCAUGGCUAGAGACUUGGAGUGUAAAACUAUGAUAUUUUUAUGUACGGUCAUUGCCUAUAAGCUUGACUUGUGCAGUGCUCAAGCAAUUUUUGUUCAGAUAUUGUUUGCUUGUGGUGACCACAAGCGAAUAUUCUGCAUGUUCGCAACUAGAUCACACGUCAAAGGUUAUUCCGCCGGUUCCCCUGUUGUGCUAUUGUGUAGGUGAGUAUAUUUGUAGUCCAUUUUUCUUGGUCGUAGGUUGGCUGUGAAUUGCCACAACUCCAUGGCAGCAAUUUAAACUCUUUCACUGUUUUUGGAUCAGGUAUGGUUUUGUGGUCUGCUUCUAGAAUUGAAAACUUGAUCAAAUCUCUUACCCAUCAACUAGAUUGACAAUGCUGAAGAACUUCUCCCCCAAGGACUUAUUGUUUAUCUGGUGACUUAUUGACCAUAUUACUGGCUCAUGUUUAUGGUCAAUUUUGUAUUGGCAGUAAUGAGUAACUGCAUAGGAAUGAUUACUGGAACAUCUAAGGAUGCUUUCUUAAUGGUGGCUUCGAAUGGAUUGUGUUGUUGUUUCUUUACUCAAGGUUAGUGGACCGUUGUUCACCUUGAUGCCAUGCAUAUAGAAUCAUAGACUACUAGAGUGUAAGUCUAUUACUCUGGUUAUGAAUUGAUCAAAUGGGGCGGUCGCAGCUAGCUAUCUUGAUGUUAAUAUUCAGUUAACGUAUAUUAGACAUACAAAUUAAUGUACAGUCAUUGCCUAUAAGCUUGACUUGUGCAGUGCUCAAACAAUUUUUGUUCAGAUAUUGUUUGCUUGUGGUGACCACAAGCGAAUGUUCUUCAUGUUCGCAACUCUUGCUGCAUGCUGUGCAUGACCCAUGUGCAUGGAAUCUCGUAGAAGUCAAUCUCAGUUAUGUAAUUACUAAAUGAGCCUCACAAUAUUUCACCUGACCUUAUGUCACAGAAUUAUGCAAACUGCAGUGCAGCAGUGGGGGUCUUCGGUGGUGGGAACCAUGCUGAUGGGGUAAGUGCAGUAUCAUCACUAAUGGUAGAAGGUGCUGGACACAGUGGACGUGAGGCGAAUUCAAGUUUGGAUGCCCGCCAUUUCUUGCCGUUGAGACCUGCAGGGAGCACUUGGUAUUUCCCUUUCCUGAAGAACAACAGUAAAACAUGAGCAAUCAUUUUGUUAGGGCAUUGUUGUUGUAUAUAUCUUGCUAAAUAAUGUUAUCAUCAUUUAUUAGGCCUCGUUUACCUUUGUUUGAGUCAACUAGAAUAGACUAUCUCGGCUGUUGCUAGAACAACAGAGCUAGCGUGUUCUGUCAAGUGUCAACACACAUUCUUAAUAUUUCAAACAAAAUAGAUCUUCAAAAUGCAGGGUGUUCAUCCCUGUGACAAGAGGAGGAGCAUAACAGAAUAUCGUAGUCUCUUUCCUGCCAUUGAUAUUUCCUUGGCAAGUACUUACUGUUGCUUAUUCAAGAGCCAGUUUUAUCAGAUGCAAUGGUGACCCCUGGUGGCGGGGGCACGGAGGACAUGU
rnacentral:lncRNA from 1 species